UGGAAAGAAGGAUAUCGUGACAAACGGU
rnacentral:sRNA from 1 species